CAGUCGAGCGGAUGAAUGGAGCUUGCUCCAUGAUUCAGCGGCGGACGGGUGAGUAAUGCCUAGGAAUCUGCCUAUUAGUGGGGGACAACGUUUCGAAAGGAACGCUAAUACCGCAUACGUCCUACGGGAGAAAGCAGGGGACCUUCGGGCCUUGCGCUAAUAGAUGAGCCUAGGUCGGAUUAGCUAGUUGGUGAGGUAAUGGCUCACCAAGGCGACGAUCCGUAACUGGUCUGAGAGGAUGAUCAGUCACACUGGAACUGAGACACGGUCCAGACUCCUACGGGAGGCAGCAGUGGGGAAUAUUGGACAAUGGGCGAAAGCCUGAUCCAGCCAUGCCGCGUGUGUGAAGAAGGUCUUCGGAUUGUAAAGCACUUUAAGUUGGGAGGAAGGGCAUUAACCUAAUACGUUAGUGUUUUGACGUUACCGACAGAAUAAGCACCGGCUAACUUCGUGCCAGCAGCCGCGGUAAUACGAAGGGUGCAAGCGUUAAUCGGAAUUACUGGGCGUAAAGCGCGCGUAGGUGGUUUGUUAAGUUGGAUGUGAAAGCCCCGGGCUCAACCUGGGAACUGCAUCCAAAACUGGCAAGCUAGAGUAUGGCAGAGGGUGGUGGAAUUUCCUGUGUAGCGGUGAAAUGCGUAGAUAUAGGAAGGAACACCAGUGGCGAAGGCGACCACCUGGGCUAAUACUGACACUGAGGUGCGAAAGCGUGGGGAGCAAACAGGAUUAGAUACCCUGGUAGUCCACGCCGUAAACGAUGUCGACUAGCCNUUGGGAUCCUUGAGAUCUUAGUGGCGCAGCUAACGCAUUAAGUCGACCGCCUGGGGAGUACGGCCGCAAGGUUAAAACUCAAAUGAAUUGACGGGGCCCGCACAAGCGGUGGAGCAUGUGGUUUAAUUCG
rnacentral:rRNA from 1 species